GAUGAACGCUAGCGGCAGGCCUAAUACAUGCAAGUCGAACGGUGUAGCAAUACACAGUGGCGCACGGGUGCGUAACACGUAUGCAACCUACCUUACAUUGGGGGAUAGCCUUUCGAAAGGGAGAUUAAUACCGCAUAAGACAGUAACUAGGCAUCUAGUAGCUGUUAAAGAUUUAUCGAUGUAAGCUGGGCAUGCGUCCAAUUAGUUAGUUGGCGAGGUAAUGGCUCACCAAGACGAUGAUUGGUAGGGGAACUGAGAGGUCAAUCCCCCACACUGGCACUGAGAUACGGGCCAGAGUCCUAUGGGAGGCAGCAGUAGGGAAUAUUGGGCAAUGGGCGCAAGCCUGACCCAGCCAUGCCGCGUGCAGGAAGAAGGCGUUAUGCGUUGUAAACUGCUUUUAUACAGGAAGAAACGACCCUUGCGAGGGGCAUUGACGGUACUGUAUGAAUAAGCACCGGCUAACUCCGUGCCAGCAGCUGCCGUAAGAC
rnacentral:rRNA from 1 species